UACGUAGGAGGCGAGCGUUGUCCGGAGUUACUGGGCGUAAAGGGUGCGCAGGCGGUCCGUGCAAGUGUGGGGUGAAAUCUCCCGGCUCAACCGGGAGGGUGCCGCGCAAACUGCCGGACUUGAGGCUCGGAGAGGGGCGUGGAAUUCCGGGUGGAGCGGUGAAAUGCGUAGAGAUCCGGAGGGACACCGACGGCGUAAGCAGCGCCCUGGACGAGACCUGACGCUCGGGCACGAAAGCUGGGGGAGCAAACAGG
rnacentral:rRNA from 1 species